rnacentral:rRNA from 1 species
CAUAUUUUUAUCGCAUGAUAGAAAUAUCAAAGCUCCGGCGGUAUAGGAUGGACCCGCGUCUGAUUAGCUAGUUGGUAAGGUAAUGGCUUACCAAGGCGACGAUCAGUAGCCGACCUGAGAGGGUGAUCGGCCACAUUGGAACUGAGACACGGUCCAAACUCCUACGGGAGGCAGCAGUGGGGAAUAUUGCACAAGGGGCGAAAGCCUGAUGCAGCAACGCCGCGUGAGCGAAAGGGCCUUCGGGUCGUAAAGCUC